CAGGAGCUCGGGCUGCGGGGAAUCGGCACAAAAAUAAGACAGCAGGCUGGGGAGAAGGCCCCUCCCCAUACGAAAUCAUCCCUAAGAUUCCAAAGGCCUGGAAAACACCUCGCUAGGAGAAGCUUCAUGGAUCAGGCCAGGUCCAGCACCCAGACAGGCAGGGGCCAAGCAGGGCAGGGCUGGGCAGGCUGGGCCAGCACCAGCCUAGGAAGCCCCCUCUCCAAAGCCCCGUCCUGUGCCCCUCUGGCCCUGGGCUAGCAAGUCUGAGCAUCUGGGGUCAAGGCGGAUCGCUGGGGACCAGGCACCUGGAAUGAGACAGAGGGGCAGUGCUGUGUGGGCCUCCCCAGGGACAGAGCAUGGAGUGGGAGCUGCGCAUGGAGCCCCCGCUUGGGCAGCUCUGCAGGCCUCCAGGCCACCAAGGCAGCCAGCACAGUGGUCCUGGCAGGAGGGUGAGAGGGCGGCACAUUCCAGCCACAGCCCACCUCUCCUCCCAGGAUGCCUGGGGAGGUGCAGGAAGAGCCCUGUGGGGGCGGGGGUGGGAGCUCGGGCCAUCUUUGGAAAGAGGCUGUUAAGAGAAGGGAACAAGAUGGGGCUGCAGGCCAUUCCCUCCCCAUGACAAUGAGAGAGCUGCAGCCACAGUCCAUGCGGCCCCCUGUGCCUUCAGCCUCCAGCCUGCUGCGACUUUGAGGAUGAUGGCAGCUGAGGGUUCAUCGGGGCCAGGCUGUGUCCCAGGAGGCAUGGACUUGCUGGAGCUCAGCUGGUCAACUUCCAGGAGGCUCUGACCACCACCAAGUUCCAGCCAUGAGGGUCUCCUCCUCAGCCAGGGGCACCCAACCCCUUGGGAAAGGAAGGGCUAGGCAGCUCCCACACCCUCCUCACCCCAGGACGAGCCUGUAGAGAAGAGCAGCUGUGUUUUCAGCUAGAGCCAUGGGCAUGAAGGAUCCAGGGAAAGGGCUGUCCGGACAAGCCACCUGCAGUGCCCACGGCCCAGCCUGAGGCAGCUCACUCCCACCCCAGCCCCCGCCCAGGCCUGAGCCCACCGGCUGUUGGCCAGGCCCGAAUGGCCAAGAUCGAUGAGUGCCCAGCACACGAGCCUUGUUUACCAGGCCGUACUGUGUCUGCUCAGCAUCAGGGCCUCCCACUGAAGCCCUCCCACACCCUCACAUCCUUGCCUGCACCCUGUGCCCUGAACCUGCCAUGCACAGCCCUGGCCACCCCAGCACAUGGGGUCCAGUCUGAAGCAGUUGCCCAUGAGGGCUGCCCCAGGCUGAAGCCCAGGCCCACGCCACAGCUGAGGUGAGCGGGAUCUUCCACCAGGAAGCCCCAGCCUUCCAGAAGGGAGGUCUUGGAGCUCCAGGACAGCACCCCAGGACUGCCAGCACUCACAAAGCAGCAAGGGGGAGGAGCUCACUGGGUUCCCAAGGGCUGCGGGAGGGUGAAGAGGUGACCCAGUUGUGGGGCAGGGGGAGUUUGGCUGGCAUGGCCACCUCAGGCCCUGCAGGCCACCCUGAUCACCUGGGGAACCCAGGUCCCCGAGUGUGGGCCAAGGGGCAAGGGGGGUGAUGCUCACCAUGAUGGUCCCAGGUGCUCACUGCUGCAGGGACAGAGGAAGUGAGCCUGGACAUGGGACUCAGCCAGCUGGGGUCCUCAUGGCAGUGUGGGGCAGCCUGGGGGCCAGGCCUGUCCAACUCCUGGUUGUCAGGGGACGUCAGGGCCUAACGGGCUAUGGGAGAGCCUGGCCUGGGGCUGGGGAUGGCAGAGCUCUGAGUGUAGGAGCUGCUGCCCAAUCCAGCAAGCUGGACCAUGGACAACAGGUGGAGGUCCCUGCAGGGAGCGUGGCAGGAAGGGGUGUGCAGACAGGUGCUCUCCCACAGGGAGUGUGGCAGGAAGGGGUGUGCAGACAGGUGCUCUCCCGCAGGGAGCGUGGCAGGAAGGGGUGUGCAGACAGGUGCACCCCCUCAGGGAGCGUGGCAGGAAGGGGUGUGCAGACAGGUGCACCCCCGCAGGGAGCGUGGCAGGAAGGGGUGUGCAGACAGGUGCACCCCCGCAGGGAGCAUGGCGGGAAGGGGUGUGCAGACAGGUGCACCCCCGCAGGGAGCGUGGCAGGAAGGGGUGUGCAGACAGGUGCAUCCCCGCAGGGAGCAUGGCAGGAAGGGGUGUGCAGACAGGUGCUCCCCUGGAGGGAGUGUGGCAGGAGGGGGUGUGCAGACAGGUGCUCCCCUGGAGGGAGCGUGGCAGGAAGGGGUGUGCAGACAGGUGCUGCCCUGCAGCUAAGCCUGACUUCCCUGCUUGCCCUGGAGCCUGGCGGGGUUCUGGAGACCAGGAGCCACCACACAGUCCUAGGCCACUUCUACUUUGGGGCAGUAAGUGAAAUUUAGAGCUCUUCACACCAGUCUGUGGCCCAGUCAGGGCAAGGUGGGGCCCACCCUGCCAACCGUGGCUGCAGACACCCAGAGCUCAGAGCCGUGGCUGGGGCUUGGGGUCUUGAAUGUGAAGAUGCGGCCGGCCUGGCAGGGCCUCAGCUGGUGCCUGGCACCGUCCCGGGCCCUGGCCUAGGUGCUCGGUGGACUGCUCCUUCCUAGUGCCAGGUCCACUUGCAGCUCCUGGGAGCUGCCCCGGGAGCUCAGCCCUGGGUGCCCCUGGCUCUCCCAGCUCAGUGUUUCACUAUGAUCAAUCAGGGUAUCGCCAGGAAGGGUCAGGGCUGCCACCUCCCUGGGCCACCUGGACCGAAAGCUGGGAGAGGCUGCCACAGACCACCUGGGUAGGUGGUCCACAGGGGCCCUGUCUCACCCUGGGCCAGGUCUACAGCCUGUGUUUAGUCUGGGGUGGCGUGGGGUGGGGGGCUUUGCUGCUUCACUGCACCCCACAUGAGCCCUGUUGGGAGGGCUGCCAGAUGCAGGGAGACGCAGAGGCGCAGGUACACAUUGCUCCACCAGCCAGACCCAGAGCUUCCUAGUGGGGACCAGUCUGGAGCUUGAAAUCCCAGCCAUCGCUCAAGGGGUUUCACUUGUGCCAACACCUUUCUUUUGGAGGGGGUGUGUUGGGGGUGUCCAGUGACAGGGUUAAUCCCCACAGUCCAUGAGGCCAGUGAUGUCAUGGGCUCCUGGGGCCCAUGGCACUGAGACCAGGUCCAGCACGAAUUCACCUGCCCUUCCUUCAGUGCCUUCUAACACCACCCAGACACCACAGCCAGGCUGGAAGGACAGCACACCCCAGCCACUCAGGAGCCACUUCGGACAGCCCACCUAGGGGCUUAAGUCCCAGUGGGACAUGCCCACCCAGGCUGCCUCAGCUGCCCACGGGGCCUCCAACCACAGCCACAGGCUCCACAGGAAAACCCGACACGAUGACUGCCCCUCGCAGGCCACAGUCAGCCCGGCCCCAGGAGAGAGACCCGUGGAGCCCUAUGUCUCAGCAGGCAAGACCACCCUGGCCUGCCAUGCCUCCAUCCUAUGCCUAUAAAAACCCAAGACCCUAGCAAGGCAGAGACAGAAGCCUCUGGGUGGCGAGAGGAACACACUGGUGGAAGAAGACAAGCCGCUGGACAUCCCGAGAAUGUUGCCUGACUCCAGGGGAAAACCAUCUCCCUUCUGGCUCCCCCAUCUGCUGAGAGCUACUUCCACUCAAUAAAACCUUGCACUCAUUCUCCAA